rnacentral:rRNA from 1 species
GACGAACGCUGGCGGCGUGCCUAAUACAUGCAAGUCGAACGCAGUGGGGACGGGUGAGUAACACGCGGGUAACCUCCCAUCAGAGGGGAUAACACUUGGAAACAGGUGCUAAACCGAUACUGAUGGAUGAACCCGCGGUGCAUGAGCUAGUUGGUGAGGUAACCGCUCACCAAGGCCACGAUGCAUAGACGCCAUGAGAAGGUGGUAGGACCCACUAGGACUGAGACACGGCCACGACUCCUACGGGAGGCAGCAGUAGGGACGAUUCGGCAAUGGACGAAAGUCUGACCGAGCAACGCCGCGUGAGGGAGGAAGGUUUGCGGAUCGUAAAACUCUGGUGUUAGAGAAGCGGUAUCUAACCAGAAAGCCAGGGCGAACUACGUGCCAGCAGCCGCGGUAAUAC